UACGAAGGGGGCUAGCGUUGUUCGGAAUUACUGGGCGUAAAGCGCGCGCAGGCGGUUCUCCAAGUCAGUGGUGAAAGCCCGGAGCUCAACUCCGGAAUUGCCAUUGAAACUGUUGAACUUGAGGACGAGAGAGGUGAGUGGAAUUCCCAGUGUAGAGGUGAAAUUCGUAGAUAUCUGGAAGAACACCAAUGGCGAAGGCAAUGUUCUGGCUCGUUUCUGACGCUCAGGUGCGAAAGCCAGGGGAGCGAACGGG
rnacentral:rRNA from 1 species